rnacentral:rRNA from 1 species
UACGUAGGGUACGAGCGUUGUCCGGAAUUACUGGGCGUAAAGAGCUCGUAGGUGGUUUGUCGCGUUGUUCGUGAAAACCGGGGGCUUAACUCUCGGCGUGCGGGCGAUACGGGCAGACUGGAGUACUGCAGGGGAGACUGGAAUUCCUGGUGUAGCGGUGAAAUGCGUAGAUAUCGGUAGGAACACCAGUGGCGAAGGCGGUCUCCUGGGGCAUUCUUGACGCUGAGGCGCGAAAGCUGGGGGAGCGAACGGG